UGUACUCAUCUCUUUAUCAUAAGUGUCCUAAAUAAUGAAAGAACAAUUCUUCAAGAGAAAAGGAGUGGUCAGCCCCUUUACCCUCCUGUCAAGGAAAAUUAAGCCUGAAGGUCAUACUAUUGGAUGCUUAAAGGCCCUGCCGAUUCAUCACAAGACAGUUUCCACAAACUGAUGGGAGAGAGACACUUGCAAGGCUUAGCAGAGAACAACACUGUCAGUCUGGAGUAAGUGACAAAAAUAAGAAAGGGAAGUCUAUCCUGAUGCCCAGCCAGGGAAAAAUGGGAAGAAAGAGAAGAGAAGAGAAGAGACAGAGAGGUAAAUGGGAAGGGAGAGGGUAUGGGAAUGAGCACACAGAAAACAGAGCUCCUGACUUUGUACGGUUAAAGCUGUAAAUGUUUUGUUCACCAAGUAGAGGAAUCCAUGCUUUUUCCAAAUAUAGACAGUACAUUUGAUAGGAUACACAGCCAAGAGCUGUCUGCCCAUGCUUGCACAUGACCCUCAGGUGUUCCAUGGACAAAGAUUAGGGAGAGAGGGUGGCUCAUGUGCCUCAACUGGUUCAGCAAUGGGCAGCAUCAGAAAUAAGACAGUGAGUGUGUGAG
rnacentral:lncRNA from 1 species